AUUGAACGCUGGCGGCAGGCCUAACACAUGCAAGUCGAACGAGUGGCGGACGGGUGAGUAAUGUCUGGGAAACUGCCUUAUGGAGGGGGAUAACUACUGGAAACGGUAGCUAAUACCGCAUACCAUCAGAUGUGCCCAGAUGGGAUUAUCUGGUUGGUGGGGUAACGGCUCACCAAGGCGACGAUCCCUAGCUGGUCUGAGAGGAUGACCAGCAACACUGGCACUGAGACACGGUCCAGCCUCCUACGGGAGGCAGCAGUGGGGAAUAGUGCACAAGGGGCGCAAGCCUGAUGCAGCCAUGCCGCGUGUAUGAAGAAUGCCUUCGGGUUGUAAAGUACUUUCAGCGGGGAGGCGUUACCCGCAGAAGAAGCACCGGAUAACUCCGUGCCAGCAGCCGCGGUAAUUC
rnacentral:rRNA from 1 species